rnacentral:lncRNA from 1 species
AAACGAUCUUCUGAAAUUGAGGAAAUUUACUCCGAAAUCUAAAGAGGAGAUUUCGUUGAGGAUGUGUUCGUGCCUGACGGUGUCGAAGGCCUUGGUUAGGUCGAGCGCCAGGAUGCCUUUUACAUCCCUGGAUUUGUUGUCUAUGACGGCGCUCCUGACGAGUAGCAU